GAGUGGCUGUGUGGUACUUAGUUGCCAGCAGGCAUUAAACCAUAACUGGUAUAAAGAUGAAGAAUAAUGAUAUAAUAGCUCCAGUUGUCUUCUCUCCUAUACAACCUAAUGAUUACUGCUAGUGUUGGGAAAUGAAUUUUCAGAAUUUGAUUCUCCAGGAAAAGAGGUGGGUCAGAGAAAAUAAAUCAGCCUGCAGUGACUGUUGAGAAGCUAUGUUGCUGCUGUAUCCCACAGGAAACUGGUGGGCUGUCAAUGUGAUCCAGUCACAAAGUAGAUUUGGGUAGUGACAGGUGGGUGUUCAGAUGCACAAAGGAAAGUUUUUAAAUCAUCUAUGUGUACAGUUGCUCCCAUGAUAUCUCCUUGCUUCCAUGUGCUGAGUCAGAGAGCAGGGUCAUGUAGAGGUGGAGAGAAGCAGGGGGAAGUUGUGGAACAUGAAUUCACAAGUUUGGCCUGGAGCAGACAUGUUUCUUGAUGCACAGGUCUGUUUUCAAUACACAGUUCAAAUGUAUGCCUAAAGCAAAUAAACGCACUAAAGAACUCACACGUCUAAAGAAGUUCAGCUGGGAGCCUUGCAGUCAUCAUCCAAGCCGUUUGUGCCCUGGUGGUCCUGCCUGUUUUCAGGCAUCCCAGAUGUGGUCUUAGGCCAGAGAAGGUGAAGAACAUCUCUCAGCAGGCUAAGUAGCCUCUGCAGCCGAGCCACUGCACAUGGAGUUGCGUGGAAAUACAGAGUAGAGAGUCUUUCUUGAGUGUGUAUUUUAAAUGUGUGGAGAGGAAAAAAGCUACCCAGGAAUUCUCCCACGCCUCCAUCUGAAUACUAUCUGAACGUGCUCAUAGCAUUUUAGAAAUAACCCAGAAGUGUUUAUGGGACAAUGCAGCAUCUGAGACUAUUGCAGCUGGCUGUGUCCUGCCACGGAUUUGGGCUGGAGAGGAGUAGGAGCUGAUAAGACCUCUCGGUUUUGGGUAAAAGGAGCAAAUCUGCUGCAUUACCUAUGAACAGGACAAUGGGGCCCCAAUGAGUCAACCUAUUCAUAUAUUUUUGGAACCCAGAGGAAUUGGUUUGACUAUUUACAGAUUAUAACAGUUGAGAAAGAGCCUGAGGCUGGAGCUUGCUGAGAACACCACGUGGAAAUGGCUUGCUCAGCUGCCAUUGCUCAUCAGGGAAGUUUGUCAGGUGUUUGUGUCUGCCAGUGAAUGGAUGUUUUCCUUGGUUGUGGAGUUACUUAUCCAACUACAAGAUUCACUGACUAUCUCAAAUAUCCAUUCUCGACCAAAGACAAAAGGAUACUACACUUUGGAGGACCUUUGCCUCAGGCGGUUGUAAAAUCAGCAGUGCUGGAAACACCUCUCAUCUUGUGUGGAGAGCUUCAAUCCCAUACCUGAUGGGAAGGAAGGGAAGAGGAAACACUGACCAGAGCUUUUUUCAGUCCUUGAAACAGUUUUCUUUGAGAGAAUGACAUUUUUCAUGCCAGACAGUUGGCAAGGGUCAACUGGACAAGAUAGAGCUGGAGACAUGGAAUCCUGCAUGGUGUCAUCAGAACUGAAGAUUAUGAAAGUCUUCUUCUGAACAGAUUUCACCCCAAAAGUGAACAGAACACACCAGGGAUAUCCCACGGCAAUGAGAGUCCUUGCUCCAGCUCAACUGAGUCAACUGGCCACCAAGUCAAAUGGAAUAGCAGAUGCCAUCAGCACGAUCUGGUUCUUGCCAACAGAGACUCUUGGCUAAAAUGAGUAGUUGCCUAGAUGGUACUCGGGAGGCAGCAGGACAAUGGCAUAUGUGGAGCCACUUCCCUUUCACAAAGGAUGCAACACCUCUAGUUUGCUGCUAUGUGGAGGAGAUGCAGUCCAUGUUCUGCAACUGCUAUGAGAGACCUUCUCCCAUGCCAGAAGCUCUCCUCCCUCUCAGACACUUGUCCUGGUCCAGCCUGCUCCCAUCUCCAUGAGACUCUUUUUGUUCUUGCCCAGCCCCAGCCUUUGGUGGGGUCUGUCAGCCCUGAAUCUGCUUCCAGCCUUCCGGCCAGGUGGACUGGGGAUGCAGGUCCCAGGGGAUGCAGCUGCAGGGCCAUGACCAGCUCUGCCCACCCUGAAGGGAGGUGACCAGACAAACUCCUGGAAUGGAAACUUCAUUUGGAGUAGAGCUGGUGGAACGGUGAGAUGCUGGUGGUCUCAUCUUCUGGCUGGGAGUGUAAAGGAAUGAUAAUGCCUGAGUUUACACUUCAUAUAAUGAUACGAUUUUGAGAGAGCCCAAGAACUCUUUAUAAGCACAGGUCCUGCUCAGUCAACCACAUUAGGACAACAGUAGGAACUGGACCAUGCUUUGCUUCAGGAACACAGACCUCUGUCAUCUCCAGCUAGUGCUCCCUGGAGAAUUGAUAGUCAAAAAGUGAACCGUGUUUCUGGUUGAAUAUCACAUCCAAUUCUUGAGUUCAUGCACUGCCCACAUAACUAUUCCUGUUGCUUUAAACAAGCACCCCUAACUCUUAGGACAGUCUUGACCUGCCACCUUGGGAGAAGAUUGCUGUGGUCAGUCUGGAGAAGACCUUCUCAAAGGUUGUACCAUACCCUGAGGCUCCUCAACUCUCCAACAUUCUGCAUCUUCUGGUACACUCAUCUGCCAGGGGAAGCCCAGGUGCCAUCCUUGCAGCAGCGUAAAGGUUUGGAGCCCUGGUGUCAGUCCCAGAUGUGAAAGCUGUCCCUGCAAGGCAGACCCAGGCUGAGCACAUCUCUUCCUAAUCUCAGAGGCUCCAUCUGGCUCAGCCACCUGCAGCAUGGGCAGAAGGAUUUCUCCUUGUCCCGGGCUUCAGAGGACAGUCAGCAACCUUCAGGUGGUGUGACAAAGUGCCUUCUGUCAAAUAAUUGCUGAGCCAGUUGAUCAAUUUCUAUCAAGUGGGACAGAAGGAGAGAGCUGUGAGACGUGAACUUUAGGAAGAAAAUGGGUACUUAAGUAUGUCCAAGGGUCCUGGAUUGUCGAUAAAUGCAGUAAACAACAGGCUGCUUUCUCUCAGAAGAAGUUAUAUGAAGUUGUCAUCCAUUUGACGGUGUCUACUGUAUUCUCCUUCAUCUUUUAUCAGAUUCUGCCAAGACCUGCAGUAGUGGAAAGGUGAACUGUAGUUUGGUCUUUUCACCGUCAUGGCAGAGUAAGAAGGAAUGAGAGCUCCUUCCCUAGGCCCUGUACCUCAUCCAAGCUCACAGCCUGGCUCUGCUGUAACUCUGUCUCCUCCACUUCCACAGCAGAAGAACUGAGUUAACUGAGGCUGUAGAUGCAUGAAAGAAGGUGUGGGAGAAGGAUGAAGAUCACAGAUUUUCUUCUGGUGAUGGACAGAGGUGUUGUGGCUCUGUGAUCUCCAGCAGCCUUUCAUGUCACAGCCCGUGCAGACCAGACCUGCUGUUGGGGUGGAUGCUCUGUGAUGGCUGGAGGGAAGAGAUCAGCCUCUCCCUGGAAGGACAAAGUUUACUCAGAUGUGCAUUAUUUCAUCCCUGUCUUCUCUGCUGAGACUAGAGUUGUUUAGGGAGGCUCAUGUGUUCUAGGUGUCAGACAAUCCUGGAACCAAGAACCUCAAAUCACGUUUCAUCCUCUGGUUUCCCUGAAACUCUUAGUUACACGUUGAAGUUACUGGAUUUAUGUUCUGUUCAAGUAACCAUAUAUAAACUUAUCAUGGAGAUCAGCUGGGACCUCAUGGCAGAAAUCUCAUUUAAAACAACUGGAAAUUACUUCACCUUGGCUCAAGCCACAGCAUAACAGAUACCUUCUCCUCCUUCUCCAGCCCUGCUGUGAGUCAAAGGCAUUUUCUGGGCUGUUACUUUCCUGUGCUGAAUGACCUUGAGCCUCUUCCUGUUGCCCCAUCUUUGCUUGGCUCAGCAUGUGCAUCUCUUGCUCUUUAUAAAUAUGCCUGCGUGCUCGCCUUUGCUGUGUUCCUUUUUCUCCACAGCUGAAGGUAUUGGUCCUUUGUCAGGCAUUGAGACAUGUUUUA